UACGUAGGGUGCGAGCGUUGUCCGGAAUUAUUGGGCGUAAAGAGCUUGUAGGCGGUUUGUCGCGUCUGCCGUGAAAAUCCGAGGCUCAACCUCGGACUUGCGGUGGGUACGGGCAGACUAGAGUGUGGUAGGGGAGACUGGAAUUCCUGGUGUAGCGGUGAAAUGCGCAGAUAUCAGGAGGAACACCGAUGGCGAAGGCAGGUCUCUGGGCCGAUACUGACGCUGAGGAGCGAAAGCGUGGGGAGCGAACAGG
rnacentral:rRNA from 1 species